rnacentral:rRNA from 1 species
AUACGGAGGAUCCGAGCGUUAUCCGGAUUUAUUGGGUUUAAAGGGUGCGCAGGCGGCCAUUUAAGUCAGCGGUUAAAUCGUGGGGCUCAACCCCAUUCUGCCGUUGAUACUGGGUGGCUUGAUUGCGGUCGAGGUUGGCGGAAUUCGUUGUGUAGCGGUGAAAUGCAUAGAUAUGACGAAGAACACCGAUUGCGUAGGCAGCUGACCAGAUCGCAAAUGACGCUCAUGCACGAAAGUGCGGGGAUCGAACAGGAUUAGAUACCCUGGUAGUCCGCACAGUAAACGAUGAAUACUUGUUUUCGGCGAUAUAAUGUCGGAGGCAAAGCGAAAGCGAUAAGUAUUCCACCUGGGGAGUACGCCGGCAACGGUGAAACUCAAAGGAAUUGAC